GAGGGGGGGAAAUUGGGGGUGGGUGGGGACUGUGUGGGAGAGUUGGGUGGAGGCGGUGGUCCUGAGAGGACAGGCCCCCCUCCCUGAUCCAGGAGUUUCCUGGUGUGCAUAUCCUCUGCUGCCACACCCCUCUUGGAGAGGUUUGAUUACAAAACCUCGGAAGAGCCAUUAACCGAGCCACAGCGGCGAUUACAACACAGAGCUGGUCGACAGGCGUAAGUGAGGUCUGGCUUCCAGGACAGUACGUGUGCAAAGAUCAAACGUUCUGUCUAAAAGAUCAAAUUUUCCCAGUCUGGAUAUCAGGCUAAAAACAGCAAAAAGACGAAGAGAGAAUUUCACUGAACGGCCUGCGGUUUCUUCCUGCAAGGAGGCCCGGCCAGGCCGUUCCUGGCACUGGCCAUGUGCCAGGCACGGUUCUAAUGAACGAGUCCAUCUCCACAACAACCCCACGGAGACAGGGACCAUUAUUAUCCCCUAAUUACAGGAGAGGAAACCUAGGCAACGGAGGUAACGUCACAGAACCAGUCACAGGCUUUUUUGAGAAUUUGAAACCACGAGCCUUUCUGAAAAGGCAGAGAUCCAAUAUAACUUCGGGGAGUUUUGGGGCCCCCGAAGCACAGCUGUUGACCCCAAGUUGAGAAUGAAGGCUCUCAGAGGCCUUUCCCAGCUUUGUAAUUCUGUGUUCUUCAACCUGCCAGUCCGGGCCAUGUUUCAGAUGUCACAUUAGACGCCAGAUCAAUGGGUUGUUUUUUUCCUCUAAAGACCCCAAAAGAGACAAUAACCACUGUUUUGAUAGUAUGGGACUUUAGUAUUUAUUGAUCAAGUUUGUGUGAUUCAAGGCUAGUAAAUUGACUCUGCAGAAAUUUAGGAUGAUGGAAAAUCUAAUGUGAACUUAUAAUCAUUACUGCGUGUUAACCUGUUUAACAAAUGUUAACCAGUUUAAGGGCAAACUUCUUUACAAUAUAAAAACGUUAUGGAAAUCAUAAUUGCUGUGCUUUGAAGUGUUUUAAUAAUGCAUGUGAGACUUAAUAAAUAAAUGCCUUUCCCCCUAU